UCCGAAGCUUGUAGCCGUUCCUUUCGGGGACGUGACGGGUGGCUGGUAUCCUUCUAUCGAGGGGUGUAUGGUGCAGCGUGGGCCGGCCUCCGGGUCGCGAAUCCCCACUGCUGCAGCGGACCACCCCUUGAGCAAUCCAGUGGGGGCAAUUGGAUGGCUCGUGGAUGUCUCCUGGCGGCUUCGGCCCCGGGAGGCCGCCCGGGCCGGGUGCCGGGAUUUCUCCCGUACCCCGACCUUCUGACUAACCCUGACCCCCUCUUUAUUGAGGGUCUCCGGCGGCCGUUUUCGCCCUUUCGGGACGGACGGCUUCCCGGUCAAGAUAGUUACCUGGUUGAUUCUGCCAGUAGUCAUAUGCUUGUCUCAA
rnacentral:misc_RNA from 1 species